rnacentral:rRNA from 1 species
AUGGCUCCCAGGAAGUUCUUCGUCGGCGGCAACUGGAAAUGCAACGGGACCGGCGACGACGUGAAGAAGAUCGUCACCUUCCUCAACGAGGCCGAGGUGCCCUCCGAGGACGCCGUCGAGGUGGUGGUGAGCCCGCCGUUCGUGUUCCUGCAGCAGGCAAAGGGGCUGCUGCGGCCCGACUUCGCCGUCGCCGCGCAGAACUGCUGGGUGCGCAAGGGCGGCGCCUUCACCGGCGAGAUCAGUGCUGAGAUGCUGGUGAACCUGCAGGUGCCUUGGGUCAUUUUGGGGCACUCUGAGAGGAGAGCACUGUUGAAUGAAUCAAAUGAUUUCGUUGCUGAUAAAGUGGCUUACGCACUCGCCCAAGGACUCAAGGUAAUUGCUUGCAUUGGUGAAACUCUUGAACAGAGAGAAGCAGGGACGACAAUGGAAGUUGUUUCUGCUCAGACUAAAGCUAUUGCAGAGAAAACAUCAGACUGGACAAACGUUGUGCUGGCAUAUGAACCAGUGUGGGCCAUUGGAACCGGCAAGGUUGCUUCCCCUGCUCAAGCACAGGAGGUUCAUGAUGGUCUGAGGAAGUGGCUCCACGCUAAUGUUGGUCCUGCAGUUGCUGAAUCUACCAGGAUUAUCUAUGGAGGCUCUGUAAAUGGGGCAAACUGCAAAGAGCUUGCAGCUCAACCUGAUCUUGACGGGUUCCUUGUUGGCGGCGCUUCACUCAAGCCCGAGUUUGUGGACAUCAUCAAGUCUGCCACCGUGAAGUCUUCUUCUGCUUAG